rnacentral:rRNA from 1 species
GUCUUCUAGGUUUUAAAUUAGAAGUCUAGCCUGCCCAAUGUAUUAUUAAUGGCCGCGGUAUUUUGACCGUGCGAAGGUAGCAUAAUCAAUAGUCUAUUAAUUGUAGUCUGGUAUGAAGGGUUUGACGUAAGGUAGCUUUCUUAUUUUUAUAGUUGAAGUUGAAUUGUUAGUUAGAAUGCUAACGUGGAAUAGGUGGACAAGAAGACCCUAUAGAGCUUUAUAUUUAUUUUGAUUUUUGUGGUAUUUUGAUCAAAUAUGUAUUUUGUUGGGGCGACAUUAAAUAUUAAACAUUUAAUUAGAUGUCUUAUUAAAAGGUUUUAUGAUCCAUUAAUAGUGAUUUAAGACUAAGUUACCUUAGGGAUAACAGCGUAAUUUUAUUAUAGAGUUCUUAUCGAUAAUGAAGUUUGCGACCUCGAUGUUGGAUUAAAAUACCUGUAAGGCGCAGUAGUUUUAUAAGGUAGUCUGUUCGACUAUUAAAAUUUUACA